rnacentral:tRNA from 1 species
GAGGAGUUAGCUCAGCAGCAUAAGCAGCUGCCUUGCAAGCAGGAGGUCAUGAGUUCGAUUCUCUAAUACUUA